rnacentral:rRNA from 1 species
UACAGGGGGGGCAAGCGUUGUUCGGAAUUACUGGGCGUAAAGGGCUCGUAGGCGGCCAACUAAGUCACACGUGAAAUCCCCAGGCUUAACCUGGGAACUGCGUCUGAUACUGGAUGGCUUGAGUUUGGGAGAGGGAUGCGGAAUUCCAGGUGUAGCGGUGAAAUGCGCAGAUAUCAGGAAGAACACCCCGUGGCUAAGGCGGUUCUCUAGUACGGUACUGACGCUGAGACGCGAAAGCGUGGGGAGCGAACAGG